rnacentral:tRNA from 1 species
GAGGAUAUAGCUCAGUGGUAGAGUGCAUGUAUAGCAUACACGAGUUCGUGGGUUCAAUCCCCAGUACCUCCA